rnacentral:rRNA from 1 species
AGUGAGGAUAUUGCGCAAUGGGGGCAACCCUGACGCAGCAACGCCGCGUGAGUGAGGAAGGUUUUCGGACCGUAAAGCUCUGUCGAGCGGGAAGAAAUGUAUCAUGGCUAAUAUCCAUGAUACUUGACGGUACCGCUAAAGGAAGCACCGGCUAACUCCGUGCCAGCAGCCGCGGUAAUACGGGGGGUGCGAGCGUUGUUCGGAAUUAUUGGGCGUAAAGAGCGUGUAGGCGGCUGAAUAAGUCAGAUGUGAAAUCCCUGGGCUUAACCCAGGACGUGCAUUUGAAACUAUUCAGCUUGAGUAGGGGAGAGGAAAGUGGAAUUCCUGGUGUAGAGGUGAAAUUCGUAGAUAUCAGGAGGAACACCGGUGGCGAAGGCGACUUUCUGGCCCUAUACUGACGCUGAGACGCGAGAGCGUGGGUAGCAAACAGGAUUAGAUACCCUGGUAGUCCACGCUGUAAACGAUGUUCACUAGGUGUUGGGGGUAUUGACCCUCUCAGUGCCGCAGCUAACGCAUUAAGUGAACCG